rnacentral:rRNA from 1 species
AACGAACGCUGGCGGCAUGCCUAACACAUGCAAGUCGAACGAUGCCUUCGGGCAUAGUGGCGCACGGGUGCGUAACGCGUGGGAAUCUGCCUUUCGGUUCGGAAUAACUCAGGGAAACUUGAGCUAAUACCGGAUAACGUCGCAAGACCAAAGAUUUAUCACCGAAAGAUGAGCCCGCGUAGGAUUAGCUAGUUGGUGAGGUAAAGGCUCACCAAGGCGACGAUCCUUAGCUGGUCUGAGAGGAUGAUCAGCCACACUGGGACUGAGACACGGCCCAGACUCCUACGGGAGGCAGCUGUGGGGAAUAUUGGACAAUGGGCGAAAGCCUGAUCCAGCAAUGCCGCGUGAGUGAUGAAGGCCUUAGGGUUGUAAAGCUCUUUUACCCGGGAAGAUAAUGACGGUACCGGGAGAAUAAGCCCCGGCUAACUCCGUG